GACGAACGCUGGCGGCGUGCUUAAUACAUGCAAGUAGGACGCGGUUGCGAACGGGUGAGUAACGCGUAGCUCACUGCCUCUUAGAGGGGGCUAACUAUCGGAAACGAUAGCGAAUACCGCAUAUUAGUAGCUGGACCUGCGUUGUAUUAGCUAGUAGGUAGGGUAACGGCCUACCUAGGCGACGAUACAUAGCCGAACUGAGAGGGUGAUCGGCCACACUGGGACGGAGACACGGCCCAGACCCAUACGGGAGGCAGCAGUAGGGAAUCUUCGGCAAUGGGAGAAAGCCUGACCGAGCAACGCCGCGUGAGUGAGGAAGGUUUGCGGGUCGUAAAGCUCUGUUGUUAAGGACGCGGUACUUAACCAGAAAGGGACGGCUAACUACGUGCCAGCCGCCGCGGUAAUUC
rnacentral:rRNA from 1 species